rnacentral:rRNA from 1 species
AUUGAACGCUGGCGGCAUGCCUUACACAUGCAAGUCGAACGGCAGCAUAGGAGCUUGCUCCUGAUGGCGAGUGGCGAACGGGUGAGUAGUAUAUCGGAACGUGCCCUAGAGUGGGGGAUAACUAGUCGAAAGAUUAGCUAAUACCGCAUACGAUCUACGGAUGAAAGUGGGGGAUCGCAAGACCUAAUGCUCCUGGAGCGGCCGAUAUCUGAUUAGCUAGUUGGUGGGGUAAAAGCCUACCAAGGCGACGAUCAGUAGCUGGUCUGAGAGGACGACCAGCCACACUGGGACUGAGACACGGCCCAGACUCCUACGGGAGGCAGCAGUGGGGAAUUUUGGACAAUGGGGGCAACCCUGAUCCAGCAAUGCCGCGUGAGUGAAGAAGGCCUUCGGGUUGUAAAGCUCUUUUGUCAGGGAAGAAACGGUUCUGGAUAAUACCCAGAGCUAAUGACGGUACCUGAAGAAUAAGCACCGGCUAACUACGUGCCAGCCGCCGCGGUAACAC